CUGUCCUCCUGUUCUUCCACUGACAUGCCUUAGGCCUCAGACUUUGGACUUUGCAGCCACCAGAACUUUUUUUCUUAAAGAAGCUGAUUACCCAAAGGAAAUAUUAAGAAAGUGGAGAAACUUGCCUAGUUAAAGUGACUGUCAUUCACAAGUAAAUAAGAAGCUAUGUGUGUACAUUACACAGGCAUCAUCUAUAAUAGGAUGUAGCUCCACACAGAAUGCUAGUCCUAUGAGGGAGAUGACUAGCCCAUCCUUUAUCCCAGUGCCCAGUGUCCGUUUCAUGUCCAUUUCACGUCUGUUGUUACGUGGAGAAGUGAAUAUGGAAAAUCCUAACUGAAGACUGAGGUU